AUUGAACGCUGGCGGCAGGCCUAACACAUGCAAGUCGAACGAGUGGCGGACGGGUGAGUAAUGUCUGGGAAACUGCCUGAUGGAGGGGGAUAACUACUGGAAAAGGUAGCUAAUACCGCAUACCAUCAGAUGUGCCCAGAUGGGAUUAGCUAGUUGGUGGGGUAACGGCUCACAAAGGCGACGAUCCCUAGCUGGUCUGAGAGGAUGACCAGCCACCCUGGACCUGGGACACGGUCCAGACUCCUACGGGAGGCAGCAGUGGGGAACAUUGCACAAUGGGCGCAAGCCUGCUGCAGCCAUGCCGCGUGUAUGAAGAAGGCCUUCGGAUUGUAAAGUACUUUCGGCAGGGAAGCGUUACCCGCAGAAGAAGCACCGGCUAACUCCGUGCCAGCAGCCGCGGUAAUUC
rnacentral:rRNA from 1 species